CAACAGCAGUCCUUGUUAAAUCCUUAACCUUCUCUUUCUUCCUUGAUGAAAUAUAAUAAUAAUAUUUUGUCAGAAAUAACCAAGGAUCAAUCCUUCAAUAGGGAUUGGAAGGACUUGAUCCUUGACCUUCUCUUUCUUCCUCUCUCUCUCUAUCUCUCCUCCCUCGCUCUCUCUCAAUCUCUUCUCCGUUUGCGUUCUCUUCUCCUUCUUCUCUCUUUUUUUUUUUGAAAAAUUCUUCUCCUUCUUCUCGUUACGGACUCGUCGGAGACCGAAUCGCACCGGACGGUUUGAGUAAAUCGGAGCUGAUUUGAUGGAGAGUAAAUCAGAGCUGAUUUAAUGAGAGUAAAUUGGAGCUUGUACGUCUCUGGGAGAUCACGGCGAGGGAAGCUCCCUCACGACUGUAACGGGACGAUCUGUAACAGUUGAAGUGGAUCAGGAACGGCUGUAACAGUUGAAGUGGAUGAACAAGAGUUAGAGAACUGGGAACAUUGUGAAGCUAGUGAAUCCGUGUGAACCGUAUGAAAGCCACUUACUUUAUCUUCUGUGGAAUCUUCAGGUUGCUUCUAUGUUGCCAGAAGAAGCGUUUUUUGUUGUGAGGAAGUCUUUUGACGCUAGGAAGAUUCUGAAAGAAGCUAAGUUUGUGUAUAUUGUGGACUUGGAUGUGAAGACGCUACUUGAGUUACAGCCUCGCGCUCAUGAUUUUAUAUUCCGGUUAGGCCCAAGCUUGGACUUGUUGAGCAUCUUCCUCCUGAGAACUCUGUUUCUGGUGACUUGAUCAGUAUAGUAAACGAGUGUAGAAGAACCACCAACAGUGAUGCAGAGAGCAUGAACCUGUGGUUAUCAACGGCAAUGGAGGAGGAGGAAGAAGCAAACCGAGGAUUGCAGUUGUUGGUGGUGGUCCGUCUGGUUUGUUUGUAGCUCUUGUUCUUGCAGAGUUUGGUGCUGAUAUAAUGCCAGGAUCUAUUCUCAGAGAGAGAUAUAAUGCCAAGAAUUGAGUUGAGCAGAGAGAAGAAGGUCCAUUAUCAGCCUUACAAUUCAAGAAACAGAAAUGGAGGAGCUUAAAACAGUAGUACCAAACUCUCUUCUGGAACCAAGUCGUAGGGUAGAGAAAUUGCAAUAUGUCUUACUCUUAAACUGUGAUGAUUCACAAACCAAAAGCUUAACUAAUUAGAUCUGUCAUAUGUAGUUUGCUCAAUAUUUCAAUACCACUUGUUGUUGGUAGGCAAUGGGUUGAAUGUAAUUAGACUUGUGUGCAUAUAGUAUAACAAAGUUUAAAUUCCUAAGGACUCUAUAUUGAAUUAUACCAUUAGACAACAUUUUAGGGUAAAAUCCUUAACUAUUCAAAAAGCAAAAUAUAUAUAUAUUCUAUUGCUAAGGACUCCAAUGGUGGAUAACACCAUUGGAGUU